rnacentral:rRNA from 1 species
GAUGAACGCUGGCGGCGUGCCUUAUACAUGCAAGUCGAGUGGGUUUAGACCCACGGCAAACGGGUGAGUAACACGUAGGUACUUUCCUUGUCACAGGAAUAACCCUCCGAAAGGAGGGCUAAUACCUGAUGUGAUCGCAGGAUUAAAGGGUAUCCGCAAGGAUUACCGGACAAGAAGAGGCCUGCGGCCUAUCAGCUAGUUGGCGGGGUAAAUGCCCACCAAGGCUAUGACGGGUAGCUGGUCUUAUGAGGAUGAUCAGUCACAUGGGCACUGAGACACGGGCCCAACUCCUACGGGAGGCAGCAGUAGGGAAUUUUGCGCGAGGGGCGAAAGCCUGACGCAGCGACGCCGCGUGCGGGAUGAAGGCCUUCGGGUCGUAAACCGCUUUUAUAAGGGACGAACUUUGACGGUACCUUAUGAAUAAGAGGGUGCUAACUCUGUG